GCUAAUCAAACUCGGUGAUAGCUGGUUCUCCCCGAAAUAGCUUUAGGGCUAGCGUCGGAUGUUUCGUCGUGCAGGUAGAGAACUGAAUGGACUAGGGGGCACACCCGCUUACCGAAUCCAACCAAUCUUCGAAUGGCACGCCGUGAAGUCCGGCAGUCAGACAGUGGGCGAUAAGGUCCAUUGUCGAGAGGGAAAGAACCCAGAUCGCCAGCUAAGGUCCCAAAAUCUCUGCUAAGUGGAAAAGGAUGUGGAUGUGCUUAGACAGCCAGGAGGUUAGCUUAGAAGCAGCUAUCCUUUAAAGAAAGCGUAAUAGCUCACUGGUCAAGCGGGUCUGUGCCGACAAUUCAACGGGGCUCAAGCAGAGUACCGAAGCUGCGAACGUAAGUGGUAGGGGAGCAUUCCCUAGGCCUGCGAAGGUUGACCGUGAGGACAGCUGGAGGCAUGGGAAGAGACUCUGUCGGCAUAAGUAGCGUAAAGACGGGCGAGAACCCCGUCCACCGUAAGACUAAGGAUUCCAACGCAAGGUCAAUCCGCGUUGGGUUAGUCGGACCCUAAGCUGAGGCCGAGAGGCGUAGGCGAUGGAAAGCUGGUUAAUAUUCCAGCACCAUGAAUACCUCGUUUGUACGAUGCAGGGACGCAGAAAGGUAGUCGCGCAGCUCUAUGGAAUGUGCUGUGAAAUCUUUCAAGGGUGAGACUUAGGGAAGUCCGGGUCUCAUGAGCCCAAGAAUUAUGACGAAAGGCGAUGAUCCUACGCUGCCGAGAAAAGCUGCUAAGGAGAGGUAUUUGUGUCCGUACCGCAAACCGACACAGGUAGUCGAGGAGAGAAUCCUCAGGUGUUUGAGUGAAGUGUGCUGAAGGAACUCGGCAAAUUAACCCCGUAACUUCGGGAGAAGGGGUACCACGGUAGGGUUCAUAGCCCGAGGUGGUGGCACAUAAAUGUCCCAGGCGACUGUUUAACAAAAACACAGGUCUCUGCAAACUCCAAAGAGGAGGUAUAGGGGCUGACGCCUGCCCGGUGCCGGAAGGUCAAGAGGAGCGGUUAGCGCAAGCGAAGCUGCGAAUUUAAGCCCCGGUGAACGGCGGCCGUAACUAUAACGGUCCUAAGGUAGCGAAAUUCCUUGUCGGGUAAGUUCCGACCUGCACGAAUGGCGUAACGAUCUGGGAACUGUCUCCAGCACAUGCUCAGCGAACUUGUAGCACCGGUGAAGAUGCCGGUUACCCGCACUUAGACGGAAAGACCCCGUGCACCUUUACUACACCUUGACAUUGAGGUUGGCGUUGGACUGUGCAGGAUAGGUGGGAGGCUGUGAAACUGGCUCGUUAGGGUCGGUGGAGCCGACGUUGAGAUACCACCCUGUGCAACGCUGAUCUCUAACUCGCACCCGUCAUCCGGGUGGAAGACAAUGUCAGGCGGGUAGUUUGACUGGGGCGGUCGCCUCCUAAAGAGUAACGGAGGCGUGCGAAGGUUCCCUCAGGCUGUUUGGAAAUCAGCCGCAGAGCGCAAUAGUAUAAGGGAGCUUGACUGCGAGUCAGACACGACGAGCAGGUGCGAAAGCAGGCUAUAGUGAUCCGGUGGUCCCGCAUGGAAGGGCCAUCGCUCAACGGAUAAAAGGUACGCCGGGGAUAACAGGCUGAUCUUGCCCAAGAGUUCAUAUCGACGGCAAGGUUUGGCACCUCGAUGUCGACUCAUCACAUCCUGGGGCUGAAGCAGGUCCCAAGGGUUCGGCUGUUCGCCGAUUAAUAGUGGUACGUGAGUUGGGUUCAGAACGUCGCGAGACAGUUCGGUCCCUAUCUAGUGUGGGCGCAGGAGAUUUGAGAGGGCUUGUCCUUAGUACGAGAGGACCGGGAUGAACGAACCUCUGGUGUUCCAGUUGUGCCUCCAGGUGCAAUGCUGGGUAGCUAUGUUCGGAAGUGAGAAGCGCUGAAAGCAUCUAAGCGCGAAACACGCCUCGAGAUGAGAUCUCCCUAUGAGGCCCGUGGAAGACGACCACGUUGAUAGGUCGCAUGUGUAAGCGCGGUAACGCGUUCAGCUAAGCGAUACUAAUUGGCCCACAGGCUUGAUC
rnacentral:rRNA from 1 species